rnacentral:lncRNA from 1 species
UGGUACAUACUGUAGCACGUUAUUUAUACAACUUAGGGCUGUUAUUUACAAAUACAAAUAAUCAACUUACAUAAAUAUUGUUAUAACAUUUAGAAAAAAAACAUAUUUAGGUUUUGGUAGUCCAACUAAGCACAUGUCCCAGUGGUUUAUUAGAAUCUCUUCUGAAAUAAAUCCCACCAUGUCUGGCACACCAUUCACGGUACUGACCACAUUUAUUCGAACGGGUGCCUGCUCGAAAUGCUUCAAGAUUUUCGUAAUGGUUUUCUCGAGGACGAGUGUUAUUUGGACCCUUCGGAGUGUUAUUUGGACCCUUCGGAAGCCGGUAAAAGAGAUUACAAUAAUACGUUGUUCUUUCUUUAGCCGAGACGAAGAAAUAAAUAUGAUAACGGUCAGGUUGUAUAUUUAUUUGUGGAUGAUUAAUGGAUGGGUUGUAAGAUUGACACUUGACAUGUAAAAUAUUAUCUUUACCGAGUUCGUUUUUGAAUACUAAACGACUUUCGGCGCAAGCUUCACUCAAUCCAAAACAUAUAGUAAUAACAAACAGAAACACUAUGAAAUUAUUCAUUUUUUUGUGAGAUAUAAUUUUUGAAGUAAUGAAAUUAUCUAUCUGUUGUAUUUAUAACUUUUUGUGUAGAAAACGUUUGCCUUUAUUUUAGAUAGUCUAUUAAUGGUGUUAGCUAAAUUUGAAAACAAAAUAUGAACCAAGUAAAAUAAUUGGUCACUAUAGCUUUUACUCAGGUUAAUGUCGAAAGUAUGGUUAUCCAAAAACAAUAAAACUAAAUAAAUUAACUGUUAUAAACUAUAUGUCACCAAAAAAUAAAGAAAACCAAAAAUCUAAAAUAUGUGGAAUUUGAUUACUUUUAACAAUAUUGAAAACUAAAAAGUUCAACGACAUGUAACUUUUGCCAAACAUCAACCAAUAUGUUUAUCAAAUGUUAGUUGUAGUAAACUUAAUAAAACAAACCUAUUCAAUCACACAUUUUAGUUUCAGAGCCACUAAUUAUUUUCUUCAUCUGUUUGAUUAUAAUUUGUGAUAGUCUCUGUCUUCUUCUCCUUGGAAAGACAGGUGAAAUUAAAAUAGAUCCGUUGCAGCAGCCUCGGAAGCUAGAUGAACAAAAUCACAAACAGUUUUUUACUAAAUCUUUCAGAAAAUGGUUAAUUAAGAUCUGAAUAUAACAAUUUCAUAAUGUUUAGUUUAAGAACAUGAUGAACAUGAGUUUAAUAACAUAAAAAGAAGACUAUGAACAUAAGCUUAAGAACACUUCUAACAUGGCUUAAAAAACACUUUGAAUAUGAGUUUAAGAACAUAAAAGCACUCUGACAAUAUGUUCUCAAUGAAGCUUCAAAAGUAAAUGGGAAGUGAAACAUGUAUUUCUCUGAAUAGCAUUUAAUUGCUUGAACCUUUGACAGUUUCAAUUUUGUCCAAUAGCACCAACAGUGUCUACAAAAUGUAAUAAAAAGCAUUGCUCCAAAAAAAAAAGGACUUACAGUUUUAGAUUCAACUUAAGUUGAGCUUCCAGUGUUUAUAUCAUCUCCAAGACCACCGUUGUCUCCCUGAUAACACCAAGACACACAUUGUUAUUUUGACAGAAUAUCAAGUGAGUUACAAACUAACAUAUCAGGGACUCGUUGAAGAUGCGUAAGACUGUGAAGGUCUGACGCUCUGCAGUGUAAUGAAACUGGUCACGCUGAGCUGGAAUAUGUAUGUCUUGCCAACACCUCCAGCCUAUAAAAGACAUAGUAACAGAACAGCUUUGUCAGCCUCAUCAGCAAGCUUAACUCGACACAGUAUCAAGAUUCAACCAUUUUUAAUCAAUAAAUGAAACCAAACUAAUCUUACACUAACAAACAAAAACAAAAUCUAUAAACGAAACCAAAAUCAUCUAAAUCAGUAUACAGAAUCAAAAUCAUCUUACAUCAACAUUAAAAACAAAAAAAUGAUCGGCGUGGAUUUAAUGUGGAUUCAAAACGGCAGGUACGUGUACAACAUUCAAUCGGGAAAACUAAAACAAACGGCGGAUGUAAAACAUAACCUGAGAGUGAAGCAAGAGCAUGUCGACGCCCAUGAAUUCUCCACCACGGCGGACGUUUCUGGCCUCCCAGAAGCGGAGCAAGCACACUUCGACGGUGGAAGAGGAGCCACCGGCUUGGAGAUCGGAGAGGAAAACCAAAACGUUAGCCAUAACAUUGUAUUUUUUGAUGAGUUAAGAACGAAUAAGAUGUAGUCUCCGAGAGAACCAUGCAUACCUUUUUUAUAGUCGACUCGAACGCCUUGCACAUCAACAAUAUCGCAUUGAAUCCAGAUUGUGGGUGUUAGAUUAAUGGGGGGGGGGAUUAAAGAUGAUUGAUUGAUCGGUUUUUGAGUGCUUGCAACGAAGGAGACGGAACGUCAGCUGCGCAAGGGGUGUCACCUUUCGAUCUGGAGACGCGAGAAGCGUAAACCAUUACGCGUACACCUAAUCCAAAACGGGGCUUUUAGUUACCAUUAUGUUCUAAAACACGUGAUGGGCUGCAUGCUGUAAAGCCCAACAAAACAAUGGAACCCAGAGACAACGACUUAAACGAUGCACUGCGUUUCACUGAUUGGACACGUGUCGCAACAUCCUGUCUCUAUUUGUUGAGCUGGCGCAAGGAGAAGAGAGUCCCUCUCUACUUUAUGUUAUUAGAUUUAUAGUAAAAUUCUAAAAUAAAAUAAUAAAUUAUUCGGUAUAACAAAUAAAAACAAUAUAAGAGGUAAUAGAAUAAGUAAAAAAGCCACCGAUUAUAUACAAAACUGAAUAAUAAUAUUUUAUAAAAACACAAGUACAUUCAAUAUAUACAAAAUAUAAAAUAAUCAAUAUUUGGAGUAUUAAACCUAACAACAACAAUACAAACUUCAAUUUACUUACUAUAUAUAAAAAAAUUGAGGAAACCUUAAGAAAAUAUAUACCAUUUCAAUCAUGAAAUUCGUGUCAUACAACUUUAUAUCUCUAAAAAGAAUAAUAAAAAAAUAAUGAAUUUUAGUUAGAGAUUUGCGAAGAUGACAUAAAAAUGUAUUCUCAUUAUAAAAAACAUAACAAGAAAGAAAAACAAUACCUAAAACAGUAUAAUGUCAUAAAAUAUAUUUGACAACAAAUAAAAGAACAAAAACAAGUUACAAAAAGAAGCAAACAUCAAACGUUAAGUAAAAUGAAUAUAAUAUUUUUCAUCAUUUAAAAUUUUCUAUUAGACAACAAUCAUUUUAAUACAUAUUUCUUACAAAUGCAAACCUAAAACACAAACCACGAAUCGUACAAAAAAUUAAAAUCUAGAUCACAAGUAAAUUAUAUCCCGCCCGUAGGACGGGCCUAUCCUAGUAAUACAAUAAAGAAGAAAAAGGAGGAUUUCGCAUAAACAAAUGCUAGACUAAGGUUUAGAGAAAAGACAAAAGGUAAAAUAUGAAACAAGUAAAAAAAAAAAAAAUGAAACUGGUGUUUGAGCUGCAGAGAGAAGACCUACAACUUGAAGAAAAGACACAAAAUAUAAGAAAUGUAUCAACAAAAGAUGUGACUGAGUUGCAGAAACGUAACUCAAACAAUCAAAAUCUAAGAUUUAAUAUUUGGAGCAGAAGCAAAAGAUUAAAGUUGAUGAUGCAGAAAAACAGGUAGUUGAACUUAAAGAAAGAAAGCUUAACUUGAGUUGGAAUUAGGAUAUCAAAAUCUAUGUUUUAAGACAUUGUAGAUUCACACACGGUAAUAGAUAUUGAAUAAGCAAAACUGUUUGAUGAGCACGGACAUAUGCAUGGCUUAAGUAGCAAUUCAAGAAAUCAAAAGCUAUGAUCGAAGAGAAUAAUUCACAAAAGGUAGUAGAUGAAUACAAAAAAUUGGUGGUAGAGCUGCAAAGGUAAAUGAUUACUUGCAUCAUAAUUCUAAACAUCACAUUAAAAAAUCAUUAUAUUAAAGAAAAAUAAACAGUGUAAAACGUUUACACACGAAAUUCCACAAAAAAAAAAUAGAACACUAAUUAUCCUUACAUAGUACAUGAACAGAUAACCGAGAAUCAAACCAAAAUAGAAUUAAAAAUUCUGAAUUCAAAACUGAAUUAAUGUUCACAAAUAAGCAAAUGGUCCAUAUAUGUCUGGAAACAAAAUAUCCAAACUGAACCGAAACUGAACUGAAAUCGAACCGAAAAACUACAAAAUAUUAGUAUUAAAAUUACCAAAUAUUAGUAUUAAAAUUACCAUAUAUUAUUGGAACACUAAUUAUAAAUUGAACUACCGGAAAAACUAACAAAUUGCCAGAGUAUGUUUUAAUCCAAAAUAUUUUAAAAUUAUCUGAAAGAACUGAACCACUCAAUUUUUUUUUUAUAAUACAAGUAACUUUGGUAAGAUCACAUAUCCUCUGAAAAUCUUCGUUAGAUUCAAUAACUUUGGUAACUAAUUUCAAUACAAGCAUGUAAAACACAUUCCGCCCGUAGGCGGCCGACCCUAGUUUACUAAUAAAAUGAUUUUAACUAUUUGCAUUACCAUUUCAAAAAUCAUUUAUUUAAAUGAUGUAAAUUUAUUUGACAUCAAUUAUAAAAUAAUGUAAAUAUUAAAAAUAAAUGAUGUUAAACAAUGAUUUUUUUUUUGUAAUGUGAGCCAUAACCCAUUUACCACCAAAACUGAUUCGUUCUGGUUACAAGUUUUACCAAUAAAAUAGAAAAAGAUUAUCUACGAUAUGGAAACAACAAUAUACAUAAUCAUUUAAUGAACUAGCAUUUUAAUAUUUUUGGUACAUACUGUAGCACGUUAUUUAUACAACUUAGGGCUGUUAUUUACAAAUACAAAUAAUCAACUUACAUAAAUAUUGUUAUAACAUUUAGAAAAAAAACAUAUUUAGGUUUUGGUAGUCCAACUAAGCACAUGUCCCAGUGGUUUAUUAGAAUCUCUUCUGAAAUAAAUCCCACCAUGUCUGGCACACCAUUCACGGUACUGACCACAUUUAUUCGAACGGGUGCCUGCUCGAAAUGCUUCAAGAUUUUCGUAAUGGUUUUCUCGAGGACGAGUGUUAUUUGGACCCUUCGGAGUGUUAUUUGGACCCUUCGGAAGCCGGUAAAAGAGAUUACAAUAAUACGUUGUUCUUUCUUUAGCCGAGACGAAGAAAUAAAUAUGAUAACGGUCAGGUUGUAUAUUUAUUUGUGGAUGAUUAAUGGAUGGGUUGUAAGAUUGACACUUGACAUGUAAAAUAUUAUCUUUACCGAGUUCGUUUUUGAAUACUAAACGACUUUCGGCGCAAGCUUCACUCAAUCCAAAACAUAUAGUAAUAACAAACAGAAACACUAUGAAAUUAUUCAUUUUUUUGUGAGAU